rnacentral:lncRNA from 1 species
GCAGUAUACGUUUUUCUUUUUCCAUUUUAUAUUUCCCUCACUUCCUCUCUCUAUCUCUUUCUCACUUCACUUUCUCUGUGUCCCGUUGGAACCAAACAGUUUCUCUCUCUUUCUCUGUCUUCUUUCACUCUUUCCCUUCGCUCCUUUCUCUGUCACACACACAGAGACGGAGACAAAGCGCCCACACACAAUUCCUCACUCUACAGUCUACACUUCAUUUUUUUCACUCUCAGAGAGUCUCUGGCAAAGAAAGCCUCUACCUUGUUGGUUUUCUUAUUCUUGUUUGAGAUUAACAUGACCACAUUCUUAACUAUCUUUUACUUCAUUUCAUGAAUCCCACCACCCAACCCCCACCGUCGUUGCCGCCCACCGCCGUUUCCGCC